AUGUAUUAUUGUCAUGCUCCCAUUGUUUGGGUGAUUUACCUAGGCUAUGCACACACAUAUAAUAUUGCCAUGUUCCCCUUAUUCAUCACCGAACAUUGCUGCCAAAUUGAUGUUUUUGUUGCUCUAUACAUUGGUGUUAUAGACUGCCAUUUGUUUAGUCGAACAAUUUGCCAAACUGAUUUUCCAUUACUCCAUGUACUGGUGUUACAGACUGCUAUUUGUUUUGUCCAUCUUAGUAAUUCAUUUGGUUUACAUUCUCAUGAUAUAGAUAUACACGUGCCCCUUUCCUAUUUUAGCUAUCAUUUGCCAACCUCCAUUAUAUGA
rnacentral:rRNA from 1 species